rnacentral:rRNA from 1 species
GAUGAACGCUAGCUACAGGCUUAACACAUGCAAGUCGAGGGGAAACGACAUCGAAGGCUUGCUUUUGAUGGGCGUCGACCGGCGCACGGGUGAGUAACGCGUAUCCAACCUGCCCAUCACUUGGGGAUAACCUUGCGAAAGUAAGACUAAUACCCAAUGACGUCUCUAGAAGACAUCUUAAAGAGAUUAAAGAUUUAUCGGUGAUGGAUGGGGAUGCGUCUGAUUAGCUUGUUGGCGGGGUAACGGCCCACCAAGGCGACGAUCAGUAGGGGUUCUGAGAGGAAGGUCCCCCACAUUGGAACUGAGACACGGUCCAAACUCCUACGGGAGGCAGCAGUGAGGAAUAUUGGUCAAUGGGCGAGAGCCUGAACCAGCCAAGUAGCGUGCAGGAUGACGGCCCUAUGGGUUGUAAACUGCUUUUAUAAGGGAAUAAAGUGAGUCUCGUGAGACUUUUUGCAUGUACCUUAUGAAUAAGGACCGGCUAAUUCCGUGCCAGCAGCCGCGGUAAUACGGAAGGUCCGGGCGUUAUCCGGAUUUAUUGGGUUUAAAGGGAGCGUAGGCCGGAGAUUAAGCGUGUUGUGAAAUGUAGACGCUCAACGUCUGCACUGCAGCGCGAACUGGUUUCCUUGAGUACGCACAAAGUGGGCGGAAUUCGUGGUGUAGCGGUGAAAUGCUUAGAUAUCACGAAGAACUCCGAUUGCGAAGGCAGCUCACUGGAGCGCAACUGACGCUGAAGCUCGAAAGUGCGGGUAUCGAACAGGAUUAGAUACCCUGGUAGUCCGCACGGUAAACGAUGGAUGCCCGCUGUUGGUCUGAAUAGGUCAGCGGCCAAGCGAAAGCAUUAAGCAUGCCACCUGGGGAGUACGCCGGCAACGGUGCAACUCAAAGG